rnacentral:rRNA from 1 species
GAUUGUAACGCGUGGAUAACCUGCCCACUAGACUGGGAUAACGCCGGGAAACCGGUGCUAAUACCGGAUACGUUCACCGGAUUGCAUAACCUGGUGAAGAAAGGUGCAAACCGCUAAUGGAUGGGUCCGCGUCCCAUUAGCUAGUUGGUAGGGUAACGGCCUACCAAGGCCACGAUGGGUAGCCGGCCUGAGAGGGCGACCGGCCACACUGGAACUGAGACACGGUCCAGACUCCUACGGGAGGCAGCAGUGGGGAAUCUUCCGCAAUGGGCGCAAGCCUGACGGAGCAACGCCGCGUGAGUGACGAAGGUCUUCGGAUUGUAAAACUCUGUCCAUAGGGAAGAACCAACUGACGGUACCUUUGGAGGAAGCCCCGGCUAACUACGUGCCAGCAGCCGCGGUAACACGUAGGGGGCGAGCGUUGUCCGGAAUUACUGGGCGUAAAGGGCGUGUAGGCGGCCAAGUAAGUCAGUCGUGAAACCCAGCGGCUUAACCGCUGGCUUGCGAUAGAAACUGUCUGGCUUGAGUGCAGUAGAGGGGAGUGGAAUUCCCAGUGUAGCGGUGAAAUGCGUAGAUAUUGGGAGGAACACCAGUGGCGAAAGCGGCUCCCUGGCCUGCAACUGACGCUGAGGCGCGAAAGCGUGGGUAGCAAACAGGAUUAGAUACCCUGGUAGUCCACGCCGUAAACGAUGGGUGCUAGGUGUUGGGGGUAUCGACCCCCCCAGUGCCGCAGUUAACGCACUAAGCACCCCGCCUGGGGAGUACGGCCGCAAGGCUGAAACUCAAAGGAAUUGACGGGGGCCCGCACAAGCGGUGGAGUAUGUGGUUUAAUUCGACGCAACGCGAAGAACCUUACCAGGUCUUGACAUC